rnacentral:rRNA from 1 species
UACGGGGGGGGCAAGCGUUGUUCGGAAUUACUGGGCGUAAAGGGCUCGUAGGUGGCCAACUAAGUCAGACGUGAAAUCCCUCAGCUUAACUGGGGAACUGCGUCUGAUACUGGAUGGCUUGAGUUUGGAAGAGGGAUGCGGAAUUCCAGGUGUAGCGGUGAAAUGCGUAGAUAUCUGGAGGAACACCGGUGGCGAAGGCGGCAUCCUGGACCAAUACUGACACUGAGGAGCGAAAGCCAGGGGAGCAAACGGG